rnacentral:rRNA from 1 species
AUUGAACGCUGGCGGCAUGCCUUACACAUGCAAGUCGAACGGUAACAGGUCUUCGGAUGCUGACGAGUGGCGAACGGGUGAGUAAUACAUCGGAACGUGCCUAGUAGUGGGGGAUAACUACUCGAAAGAGUGGCUAAUACCGCAUGAGAUCUACGGAUGAAAGCAGGGGAUCGCAAGACCUUGUGCUACUAGAGCGGCCGAUGGCAGAUUAGGUAGUUGGUGGGAUAAAAGCUUACCAAGCCGACGAUCUGUAGCUGGUCUGAGAGGACGACCAGCCACACUGGGACUGCGAAACGGCCCAGACUCCUACGGGAGGCAGCAGUGGGGAAUUUUGGACAAUGGGCGCAAGCCUGAUCCAGCAAUGCCGCGUGCAGGAUGAAGGCCUUCGGGUUGUAAACUGCUUUUGUACGGAACGAAAAGCCCCGGGUUAAUACCCUGGGGUCAUGACGGUACCGUAAGAAUAAGCACCGGCUAACUACGUGCCAGCCGCCGCGGUAA